rnacentral:rRNA from 1 species
UAGUCUCUCCAGUAAUGCAGCUAACGCAUUAAGCAUCCCGCCUGGGGAGUACGGUCGCAAGAUUAAAACUCAAAGGAAUAGACGGGGACCCGCACAAGCGGUGGAGCAUGUGGUUUAAUUCGAAGAUACACGAAGAACCUUACCUAGGCUUGACAUUGAGAGAAUCCGCUAGAAAUAGUGGAGUGUCUGGCUUGCCAGACCUUGAAAACAGGUGCUGCACGGCUGUCGUCAGCUCGUGUCGUGAGAUGUUGGGUUAAGUCCCGCAACGAGCGCAACCCCCUUUCUUAGUUGCUAACAGGUUAUGCUGAGAACUCUAAGGAUACUGCCUCCGUAAGGAGGAGGAAGGUGGGGACGACGUCAAGUCAUCAUGGCCCUUACGCCUAGGGCUACACACGUGCUACAA